rnacentral:lncRNA from 1 species
AAAGUUUUAGGAAUUGCGUUCUAAAAAUUGUUUUUCAAAGAUUGUUUUUCAAAAUCUUUUACGUGUAUCCACGGUCAAAUGUACAAACCAAGGCACCUCCUCUAGUUCGAAUUUAGAGGCAGCCUCCCGGAGAAAGGCUGUGUCUAACUUGCUGGCUUCUCUUCCACUCUGCAGUGCCCGCCCCUCCCCGUGGCUGGCACUCUGGACUUUCCCCAGGUCGCGCUCGCGCCCAGCUCCCUUCGGGAGAACUCGGAGAACUAUCUUCCCGCCGCCCUGACUCUCCUUCCCCCACUUCCUGCCUGGGCCCAGCGCGCGGGCCACGGGGCCGCACCUGCAGGCACGCGUUUCCCAUUGGUGACAUCUUGGCGGGCCCGGCGGUGGCACUUCCUCCUCUACACCCCGUGACCCACGUCCGGCUGCCGGUCUUGAAUCACGAGGCCUCCGCUUCCCGGACUCCGGACCCCGCGCCGCCUCGGGGCCGACGGCCCGUCCCUGGCGUGGUUGAGAACAAAAAGAUGCACCUGGACUUUCCCCGGAGCACUCUGCGUGGUUGA